rnacentral:rRNA from 1 species
UUUGUCCUACGGGAGGCAGCAGUGGGGAAUAUUGGGCAAUGGGCGCAAGCCUGACCCAGCAACGCCGCGUGAAGGAAGAAGGCUUUCGGGUUGUAAACUUCUUUUCUCAGGGACGAAGCAAGUGACGGUACCUGAGGAAUAAGCCACGGCUAACUACGUGCCAGCAGCCGCGGUAAUACGUAGGUGGCAAGCGUUAUCCGGAUUUACUGGGUGUAAAGGGCGUGUAGGCGGGGACGCAAGUCAGAUGUGAAAACCACGGGCUCAACCUGUGGCCUGCAUUUGAAACUGUGUUUCUUGAGUACUGG